rnacentral:snoRNA from 14 species
CUGGAGUGAUGAUGCUUAGCCAAAUCAGAUAUGUGCUCCAAAAGGUACAUGCCUCUUGUUGAAGCGCGUCUUGGACGAUAUCACAGAGAAUGGUUUUUGCCUGACCAGA